rnacentral:rRNA from 1 species
AGUGAACGCUGGCGGUAGGCCUAACACAUGCAAGUCGAACGGCAGCACAGUAAGAGCUUGCUCUUACGGGUGGCGAGUGGCGGACGGGUGAGGAAUACAUCGGAAUCUACUUUUUCGUGGGGGAUAACGUAGGGAAACUUACGCUAAUACCGCAUACGACCUACGGGUGAAAGCAGGGGAUCUUCGGACCUUUCGCGAUUGAAUGAGCCGAUGUCGGAUUAGCUAGUUGGCGGGGUAAAGGCCCACCAAGGCGACGAUCCGUAGCUGGUCUGUGAGGAUGAUCAGCCACACUGGAACUGAGACACGGUCCAGACUCCUACGGGAGGCAGCAGUGGGGAAUAUUGGACAAUGGGCGCAAGCCUGAUCCAGCCAUACCGCGUGGGUGAAGAAGGCCUUCGGGUUGUAAAGCCCUUUUGUUGGGAAAGAAAAGCAGCAGGUUAAUACCCCGCUGUUCUGACGGUACCCAAAGAAUAAGCACCGGCUAACUUCGUG